rnacentral:rRNA from 1 species
CCUACGGGGCGCAGCAGUAGGGAAUCUUCCACAAUGGGCGAAAGCCUGAUGGAGCAACGCCGCGUGGGUGAAGAAGGUCUUCGGAUCGUAAAACCCUGUUGUUAGAGAAGAAAGUGCGUGAGAGUAACUGUUCACGUUUCGACGGUAUCUAACCAGAAAGCCACGGCUAACUACGUACCAGCAGCCGCGGUAAUACGUAGGUGGCAAGCGUUAUCCGGAUUGAUUGGGCGUAAAGGGAACGCAGGCGGUCUUUUAAGUCUGAUGUGAAAGCCUUCGGCUUAACCGGAGUAGUGCAUUGGAAACUGGGAGACUUGAGUGCAGAAGAGGAGAGUGGAACUCCAUGUGUAGCGGUGAAAUGCGUAGAUAUAUGGAAGAACACCAGUGGCGAAAGCGGCUCUCUGGUCUGUAACUGACGCUGAGGUUCGAAAGCGUGGGUAGCAAACAGGAUUAGAUACCCUAGUAGUC